GUGCUUGCUUCAGCAGCACAUAUACUAACACUGGAACGAUACGGAGAAGAUUGGCAUGGCCCUUGUGCAAGAAAUAAAGUAUGAAUAAUAAAGGUAUCUGAAUGUAAU
ensembl:snRNA U6 U6 spliceosomal RNA